ensembl:lncRNA
UGAGUUGGUUAAAGAGACUACAUCCUGCACCAUUGUCAAGUUGUUUCCCCAUGAGGCUGCAGAAUUUCUCCUCUCCACCAAUGGUGACAACCAUCAGCACUGGAAGCUUGAACAAACACAGCUGUGCAAGGAAGAAAGAGGAAAAGUCAAGGAGAGAUUUUUCUUUCAAGAAAUUAUGGGAUUUCUGAACAUCUGGGCAUGCAUGAAGGAAAACAAGUGGAGGAAGACUGGUGCAACUAGCAAAAUGAGAACAUCUUCCCUUUUGCUGGUUGCUGAAAUGAAACAAGUAAAGUUUUGCCUCGUAAUGCAAUCUGACGGACAGCAAGGUUUGAGGCACUGAAGCACUAUGAGGAGGUCUGAUUUGUAAAAUACAUAUUUUCAGGACGGGCACACAUUGUUUGGCAGACUUAAUAUGCUUCAGAAUAUGUGCAGCUACAAGAGAAUUAUGGUGGAAAUGAAAUGCAUUACUCCAACCAUGACUGUGGAAAUGAUUGCAAAUCAUGAAACCAUGUACAGUGUUACUGCAAACAAUCCAAGCAUACAUUUAAGUCUUUUGCUCUUCUGAAUAUGCACAUACACCAGAAUUUUAUGUAUCGAGAUUAAAAAAUUGAUCAUAAAUGUCCAAAAUUAAUUUUAAGAUGUCCUUUUUCUUAUAGAUUCAGAAUGAAAGGAAUGUAAAACUGACUGUUUAUUAUUAUGAAUGAUUAAAGAUAAAGUUAUACUUCCCUUUAAUUAUUAAAUAAUAAGGGAGAAUUUAUAUAUAUGCUUAUGAUCUAAUAAAUCUAAAGAUUAUUACUUUGCUGGUAACUUCUUACAUGUUUCUUCUAGGUAGAUCACUUUAUUCAACAUAUGAUUUAAGUGCUGCUGAAAUUACUGACAUACUGACCUGUGGGUAAAUCAUGUUUCUUUUUUCUUAGUCUGAAAAGAUAAUAUCUGAAUCAUAAUAUAUUUCCAAAACUCUAGUCAAAUUGUUGAAAUUUGAUACUUUAUUUAUUUUUGGUGAGG